UUACGAUCAAACCAGGUUGAAAAACCGGUUCCCGUAUGAUCAUCGAAGUUAAGCAAAAUCGAGCCUGCUCAGUAACUAGAUGAGCGACUGCUUGCGAAUACCAGGUGCUAUA